rnacentral:rRNA from 1 species
CCGGAUUUAUUGGGUUUAAAGGGUGCGUAGGCGGAUUAAUAAGUCAGCGGUGAAACUCACAGGCUCAACCUGUGCCGUGCCGUUGAAACUGUUUAUCUUGAAUGCGGAUGCUGUGGGAGGAAUGUGUAGUGUAGCGGUGAAAUGCAUAGAUAUUACACAGAACACCGAUUGCGAAGGCAUCUCACAAAGCCGUGAUUGACGCUGAGGCACGAAAGUGUGGGGAUCAAACAGGAUUAGAUACCCUGGUAGUCCACUACUGUAAACGAUGAUAACUCGCUGCCGGCGAUAUAUAGUCGGUGGCCCAGCGAAAGCGAUAAGUUAUCCACCUGGGGAGUACGACCGCAAGGUUGAAACUCAAAGGAAUUGACGGGGGCCCGCACAAGCGGAGGAACAUGUGGUUUAAUUCGAUGAUACGCGAGGAACCUUACC